rnacentral:rRNA from 1 species
AUUGAACGCUGGCGGCAUGCUUUACACAUGCAAGUCGAACGGCAGCACGGGGGUAACCCUGGUGGCGAGUGGCGAACGGGUGAGUAAUGCAUCGGAACAUAUCUUAAAGUGGGGAAUAACGCAUCGAAAGGUGUGCUAAUACUCCAUAUACUCUAAGGAGGAAAGCGGGGGAUCGAAAGACCUCGUGCUUUAAGGGUGGCCGAUGUCUGAUUAGCUAGUUGGUGGGGUAAAGGCUUACCAAGGCGACGAUCAGUAGCUGGUCUGAGAGGACGAUCAGCCACACUGGGACUGAGACACGGCCCAGACUCCUACGGGAGGCAGCAGUGGGGAAUUUUGGACAAUGGGCGAAAGCCUGAUCCAGCCAUGCCGCGUGAGUGAAGAAGGCCUCGGU